GGGGACCCAGGAGAGAGGCCGGCGCAAGUUGGGUGACAGCUCUGGGGGUCCGGAGGCGGCCCAGGGCUCCAGGACCCGCUUCCGCUCCAGGGCCCCGCCCGGAUGACUCCUGAACAGGCCACGAGGGUGGGGAGGGACCCACAGCCUCCGCCCCGCGGGGAGGCGGCGGCCGGCAGGAGUGAGGUGGCCAAAAGGGACGCUUGUGGGGGGACGUGGCGGGGAGGGGGGUGGGUGCCCGAGGUGGGAGAGUGUGUGGGAUUGGCGCAGCGGGAUCCGCACCUCUGCCCCGCGGCUUUACAAAGCCCACACAGCAGCCCCGCAGCCAGGCCGACCGAAAGCCACCGCCUGAGCCUCCAGUGUUCCCAGGUAGCCUCUGCACACCGCGGGGCGGGAUCGCGCGGCAGGUUUUAUAACAAUCAAGAAGCACAUGAAAGAAGCCUCUUUCAUCAAGUAUUCUUAAGUUAUGAAAAUGGAAUUGAAGCUUCUGUUCCUCCUUCGUGUGGUCAUUUGGGGGUUUUCCUGUAUACUUGCUAUCCUCUUGCCUGGAUAGCUCUUCACCUGGAUCUUCCCAAAGCCAAUUCAUAGCAUGCAAGUCUCUGAUGAAGAACCAUCGCCUUCUCAAGGAGGAUUUUGAGACCACCUGUCUGAAGCAACCAUUUCACAUUGCUCCCUCUCCUCUUAACCCUGCUUUAUUUUUCUUAAAAGCACCACUGCUGUCUGGAAUUACAGAUAUGCCUUGUUUAAUUGCUGGCUCUCUUUCUCCCCUGCUAUAACAUAAGCCCCCUGAUGACAAGGACCUUGUCCUGUUCACAUCGGUGUCCCCAGUGCCUGGAACAGUGCUGCUUCCUAGAAGUUCCUCAGUAAACAUACACUCAAUGAAGGAAGGGAU
rnacentral:lncRNA from 1 species